GAAGAAGAAGAAGAAGAGAUGGAAGGCUCUCCGGCCGGCAGCUGCCUCCCGCUGCAGGCAAGAGAGCGCCUGCCUCGCCGGGCGGAGGACAGCCGAGCGACCGGAGUGACAGCAAAGGAAAGGCGGAGAGCGGGAGAAAGAAGCGUCUGCGCUGGCAAGCUCUCCCGGCAGCGCCGAGAGCCAGAGCUGCGGUGCUGCUGUGCCGAUGCUCCGUACGUUCGCAGUAACGGGUAGAGCGGAAGGCUCUGUGGCCAGGGAAGAGCGGCACGGACGCGUUCCUGCUCGCUCCGUUGCACCGGAAUUUCGACGGCUGGGUUCGGCCGCUAAAUUGAUGGCGCUACCGGA